rnacentral:rRNA from 1 species
GGAUUAGAUACCCUAUUAUUUUAGAUGUAAAUUAUUAUAAACUUGAGUAGUAUUAGUUAUGAUCUUGAAACUUAAAGAAUUUGGCGGUAUUUUAGUCUAUUUAGAGGAAUCUGUCCCAUAAUCGAUAAUCCGCGUUGGACCUUUCUUAAUUUAUUUAAUAUGUAUACCGCCGUUGAUAAAAAUCUUUUUAGGGUAUGUGAUUUUUUUGAUAUUUAUUAUAUAAUCUUUCAGGUCAAGGUGCAGUUUAUAAUUAAGAGGUGAUGGAUUACAAUAUUUAUAUAUAUACGAAUUAUUAAUUGAAAUUUAUUAAUAUGAAGGUGGAUUUAAUAGUAAUAUUAUGUAGAUUAUUAAUAUGAUUAAAGCUCUAAAAUAUGCACACAUCGCCCGUCGCUCUCAUUAUUUUUAGGUGAGAUAAGUC